rnacentral:rRNA from 1 species
UACGUAGGGUGCGAGCGUUAAUCGGAAUUACUGGGCGUAAAGCGUGCGCAGGCGGUUUUGUAAGCCAGAUGUGAAAUCCCCGAGCUCAACCUGGGAAUGGCAUUUGGGACUGCAAGGCUCGAGUGCGGCAGAGGAGACUGGAAUUCCUGGUGUAGCAGUGAAAUGCGUAGAUAUCAGGAGGAACACCGAUGGCGAAGGCAGCUCGCUGGGACGGUACUGACGCUGAGGCGCAAAAGCGUGGGGAGCGAACAGG